GCGGGUGUGGUGUAGCCUGGUAUCACGUAAGCUUGCCGAGCUUAUUACCCGGGUUCAAAUCCCGGCACCCGCA
rnacentral:tRNA from 1 species